rnacentral:rRNA from 1 species
GAUGAACGCUGGCGGCGUGCCUAAUACAUGCAAGUCGAGCGAACGGACGAGAAGCUUGCUUCUCUGAUGUUAGCGGCGGACGGGUGAGUAACACGUGGAUAACCUACCUAUAAGACUGGGAUAACUUCGGGAAACCGGAGCUAAUACCGGAUAAUAUUUUGAACCGCAUGGUUCAAAAGUGAAAGACGGUCUUGCUGUCACUUAUAGAUGGAUCCGCGUUGCAUUAGCUAGUUGGUAAGGUAACGGCUCACCAAGGCAACGAUGCAUAGCCGACCUGAGAGGGUGAUCGGCCACACUGGAACUGAGACACGGUCCAGACUCCUACGGGAGGCAGCAGUGGGGAAUCUUCCACAAUGGGCGAAAGCCUGACGGAGCCACGCCGCGUGAGUGAUGAAGGUCUUCGGAUCGUAAAACUCUGUUAUUAGGGAAGAACAGAUGUAUAAGUAACUCUGCCCGUCUUGACGGUACCUAAUCAGAAAGCCACGGCUAACUACGUG